rnacentral:rRNA from 1 species
AUUCCUACGGGAGGCAGCAGUAGGGAAUCUUCCGCAAUGGACGAAAGUCUGACGGAGCAACGCCGCGUGAGCGAAGAAGGCCUUCGGGUCGUAAAGCUCUGUUGUUAGGGAAGAACAAGUAACGCAGUAACUGGCGUUACCGUGACGGUACCUAACGAGAAAGCCACGGCUAACUACGUGCCAGCAGCCGCGGUAAUACGUAGGUGGCAAGCGUUGUCCGGAAUUAUUGGGCGUAAAGCGCGCGCAGGCGGUUCCUUAAGUCUGAUGUGAAAGCCCACGGCUCAACCGUGGAGGGUCAUUGGAAACUGGGGGACUUGAGUGCAGAAGAGGAGAGCGGAAUUCCACGUGUAGCGGUGAAAUGCGUAGAGAUGUGGAGGAACACCAGUGGCGAAGGCGGCUCUCUGGUCUGUAACUGACGCUGAGGCGCGAAAGCGUGGGGAGCAAACAGGAUUAGAUACCCUGGUAGUCCACGCCGUAAACGAUGAGUGCUAAGUGUUAGAGGGUAUCCACCCUUUAGUGCUGUAGCUAACGCAUUAAGCACUCCGCCUGGGGAGUACGCUCGCAAGAGUGAAACUCAAAGGAAUUGACGGAAU